GGGGGAGCGGUGGGGAGCUGCAGGCCGACACAAGGCUUGCGCCGCGGGAGUGCUGGAAAGUGCAGGGCCGGGAUGCAGCAGAGCUGGGUACAACACCCAUCGCAAUGCAUUGCCGGGCUGCAGCAGAGCAGGUUGCAAUGCCCGUCGCAAUGCAUCGCAGCGCUGCAGCAGAGCAGGUUGCAUUUUCCUGCAGCCCCGCAGCACACUCACUACUGGAGGGGGUAUCAGCCGGCUUGGGAAAGCCCCCCAGGGAGAUCAAAGCUCCAUGCCCAGCACUGCCCCCUGCUGGCUGGAAAGCUAGGGUGGGGGGGGGAAGGGAAGUGAUAGAGACACCCCCUCCGCAUCCUUGGAAUUGGGGCAGGGGGAUUGUCUGCUCCCCUCCCCAGCCCAAUGGUCCAUAAGGGUCACGGACCAGUUUGGGGGGGAGAGGUUUUAGAGGUUGGUUUGGGGGCAAGGUGGGGGGACAAAUUUUCUCCUUAGCCCCUCCCCACAGGUUGAGCCAGAUCAUCCCCAUCCCAGCUACGGGGCCAGACCCCCGAUUCCCACCCCCAGGGAAAUCCGCACACCCCUAUGCUCCCCCAAAUCUGACCCGCUCUCCUAAUGGGGCAACAAAGGAUUCUGAGAGUGGCCCGACUCCCCCGACCCCGCACAG